AUUGAACGCUGUCGGCAGGCUUAACACAUGCAAGUCGAGCGAGCGGCGGACGGGUGAGUCAUGUCUGGGAAACUGCCUGAUGGAGGGGGAUAACUACUGGAAACGGUAGCUAAUACCUCAUACCAUCAGAUGUGCCCAGAUGGGAUUAGCUGGUAGGUGGGGUACUGGCUCACCUAGGCGACGAUCCCUAGCUGGUCUGAGAGGCUGACCAGCCACACUGGAACUGAGACACGGUGCAGACGCCUCGGGGAGGCGGCAGUGGGAAAUAUUGCACAAGGGGCGCAAGCCUGAUGCAGCCAUGCCGCGGGUGUGAAGAAGGCCUUCGGGUUGUAAAGCACUUUCAGCGAGGAGGCGUGACUCGCAGAAGAAGCACCGGCUAACUCCGUGCCAGCAGCCGCGGUAAUAC
rnacentral:rRNA from 1 species